GAUGAACGCUGGCGGCGUGCUUAACACAUGCAAGUCGAACGAUGAAGGGAGCUUGCUCCUGGAUUAGUGGCGAACGGGUGAGUAACACGUGAGUAACCUGCCCUUGACUCUGGGAUAAGCCUGGGAAACUGGGUCUAAUACCGGAUAUGACUGACCGUCGCAUGGUGGUUGGUGGAAAGCUUUUGUGGUUUUGGAUGGACUCGCGGCCUAUCAGCUUGUUGGUGGGGUAAUGGCCUACCAAGGCGACGACGGGUAGCCGGCCUGAGAGGGUGACCGGCCACACUGGGACUGAGACACGGCCCAGACUCCUACGGGAGGCAGCAGUGGGGAAUAUUGCACAAUGGGCGCAAGCCUGAUGCAGCGACGCCGCGUGAGGGAUGACGGCCUUCGGGUUGUAAACCUCUUUCAGUAGGGAAGAAGCCGCAAGGUGACGGUACCUGCAGAAGAAGCGCCGGCUAACUACGUGCCAGCAGCCGCCGUAACAC
rnacentral:rRNA from 1 species